UACAGGAAGGAGGCCUCAUCUGCAGGUGUCACUUCACCUGAAGCACAGGUGGACAGACAGAGCUGCACAGCGUAGGACAGACCUCUAUGUAUUACAAGUCACCAUGAUUCAUCAAUGAAGUUACCAAUCGUGGCAGCUGUUGAGAUUGUGCAGUGACUCUCGCCUGAUAACAGACACAUGUCCUGCAGCUUAUCAGCCAUCACGACUCGUCCCAUAAACAUUGAUUCAGAAAUCAAAUAACGGAGAACAAACAACAGGACUGAUGCUGCUGGUAGUGAUUAUAUGACUAAACACUGAGCUAGAAAGCUGUGUAUUUGACUCUGAUGUGUGAGCCUGUCAUAGCUGAGCUGUCCCUAAGCAACCUUUACCAAUGGAGUUGAUGAGCUACAUGAUGAGGUGAGAGGUGUGUCACUACUGAUUGCCUGAGCUGCAGACUAUGUGUGUAUGUGUGUCUGGCCAUAGUGUUCCCCUGUAUCUACCUGGCACUGGUGCCUCAACCCGCGGCAGGCCUGCCCUGAGGUCAUGUACCAGUCAUUUAGCACCUCCUCAGGUGACCAGCUGGCUGCUGGCCCGCUCAUCAUACAGCUAUGGGGCUAGAGAGACUAGCUGGCUGCUGGCCCUCUCCUUAUCAUACAGCUAUGGGUCUGGAGAGACCUGCUGGCUGCUGGCCCUCUCCUUAUCAUACAGCUAUGGACCUGGAGAGACCUGCGGGCUGCUGGCCCUCUCCUUAUCAUACAGCUAUGGGCCUGGAGAGACCUGCUGGCCCUCUCCUUAUCAUACAGCUAUGGGCCUGGAGAGACCUGCUGGCCCUCUCCUUAUCAUACAGCUAUGGGUCUGGAGAGACCUGCUGGCCCUCUCCUUAUCAUACAGCUAUGGGUCUGGAGAGACCUGCUGGCUGCUGGCCCUCUCCUUAUCAUACAGCUAUGGGUCUGGAGAGACCUGCUGGCCCUCUCCUUAUCAUACAGCUAUGGGUCUGGAGAGACCUGCUGGCCCUCUCCUUAUCAUACAGCUAUGGGUCUGGAGAGACCUGCUGGCCCUCUCCUUAUCAUACAGCUAUGGGUCUGGAGAGACCUGCUGGCCCUCUCCUUAUCAUACAGCUAUUGGGGCUGGAGAACCACAGCUGUCAAAGGUCCAGUCUGUCUGUUCCUAUGCUAGCAUGAGAGAGUGAGACAAAAAGAGAGCGAAUGAGAGAGAUGGAGAUCAGCCCUGUUUAUACCUGAAUGCAUGUUAACGGCAGUUAUAAACAGGGCUAGAGAGUCUUCUUCAAAACUCUUCUUUUUCACCCUGUAGCAACACCAGGUGGUCAUGAAGGCAGAGAUGGACAGGCCUAGUGGAUUACAAUGUCCAGACACACACAACAGACACAACGUAUAGAGGCAGCAAUUCCAUAAAAAUAAAAUAAGUGUCUUGGAAAGAGUGUAAAA